rnacentral:tRNA from 1 species
GCCCGAAUGGCGAAAUCGGUAGACGCAAGGGACUUAAAAUCCCUCACUCGCAAGAGUAUCCCGGUUCAAGUCCGGGUUCGGGCACCA